UUUGGGGAUCUGAGCCUGGGUUGGGGGAAGAAGGGGCAGAAAGAAGAGAAAGCUUUUAGUGGUGCCUUAUUGGUGAUGUGCUGUAUCUCUCAAGAUCGGUACUUGUUGGCAUCUCUAUUGAGGCAGUGCUUGAUAGAGUUGAGUACAGAGUGAUGGGCAGCAUGCUGUUGGGCUUUGAAACUGGGCUCCCUCAGCAAGAUGCAGAACACAGCCCCCUGUGGAGGCCUGGGCUCAGGUGCUGGCUGUGUGGGACAGACAGGAGGUGCUAUCUCAGCAAAGGCUUGGCAGAUGAAAUUCAUCUUUACUUCUGUAGUGGCCCAGAUCACUUGCGUGCACAGUUCUUAAAUUUCAAGAACACUUCAAGUGCUUUAUUGCAUCAGCUUAAAGAAGGAGCAAUAACUUGUACUUUUUUGAAUCAUGCAAUCAUAGAAUGGCUUGUGUUGGAAGGGACCCUGAAGAUCAUCUAGCUCCAGUUCCAGACUUCUGCUUGUGAUUGUUUUUAAAGCUUCUUGAAAUAUCUCAGUAUUUUACUGUAUUUUCAAUUUAAAAUUACAAAGUUUUAAAAUUACCACAGUGUUUUUUCUAACACUAAGAGAUUCACUAAUGUAGGCUGGUUUAGGACCUUGUAUACUGCUUUGGUAACUGGUGACCAUCACUUUUGUCUUGCAAUGGAAACAGCACUGAUUUGAAGUAUGCCACCCAAUGUUUCAUGUGUAUACUGUGAUAUUAUUGGUGGUGUUCAACAAGUUACCACCUUCAAAAGUGCCUACUUCUUUCAUCCUUCAAGUGUUUGUAUUUCACUCAAUGUCAGAGUAAAUUGCAUGAUUGAUAUUCGAGUCCAUUUAUCAAGGAACUCAUGCAUUCCCUUUUAAAAAUCAAUAUUUAAGAAUAAAAUAGCCUUGCAGUAAUUUAUCAGUGUAAGUAAAAAUGUUGCCUAAUGUUUUACUUGGAGAACUAACUUUUGAAGAUUAAAUAAAGGCAAAACUCACGCAAGCAUGGCUACCUCAGCAUUCCUUGUAUUGGCUCUUUUCAUGCAAGAAACAAGGCAGAAGUGGAACUAUUAUCUAUGGGGGAGCAGUGUACAAAAAAAAAAAAAAUUUCCAAAAAUACUGAUGGUGAUUUUACUGUAGAGAUCUUGAAAGUAGCUGUUUUCACUAGUUUCUCCAACCUGCAUUGAUUUGAAUCCUGGAAGUGUAUCUUGCUGGGGGGAGUCAAAAAUAUACUUAAAUACUGGCUUUAAAACUAGUGUGGAAAAAAAAGACAAGUUGGUUAUUAAAGUUCAAAUUGACGUGUGAAUUAGGAGAUUUGUGGGCAAAGUGGAGUUUUUUGGAUCCAUGUUCCAUCAGCCCUCAGAUACUCAAUGGUCAAGGUAUGUCAGGACUAUUACAGAACUCCUGUAUGGUUAGAAAAGAUCAGUUAAGUCAGUUACUUUCAUUCCAGGUAUUUGUACUUCUGAUAGGGCUUUAUAUCUGAAAAUAUAGUUUCCCUAUAUAUAUUUAUGUAGGUUUAAAUAUUUAUAUUAACUUACAGUGGCAGGUGAGGGUCUGUUGGAUUAGCUGGUUUCACUAAUGCCUUGCUUAUGAUUGUUCAGUUUUUGGAAUUGUGCAGAGAACUGCUGAGAGGCUUCUGUAUCUGAUAAUGGCUUAUGUAAUUCUAUUGAUAUAAAUGGCUCUUGUGAAAGGUUUGGUACUUGUUCUGUAUUUUUUCUGGAUGUAAUAAAAAAUAAAAGCUAUCUAAUGAUAA